rnacentral:rRNA from 11 species
CUAUCUGCCGUGGGUGUUGGAUACUUGAGAGGAGCUGUCCCUAGUACGAGAGGACCGGGACGGACGUACCUCUAGUGUGCCAGUUAUCCCGCCAGGGGUAUCGCUGGUUGGCUACGUACGGAAGGGAUAACCGCUGAAAGCAUCUAAGCGGGAAGCCUCCCUCAAGAUAAGCAAUCAUCGAACCGUGAUAGACCAUCACGUUGAUAGGCCGGGUGUGGAAGUGCAGUAAUGCAUGGAGCUAACGCGUACUAAUUGCUCGUGAGG